UUAAUGCCUUCGAUUUUAACGGUUUGCUCCUGAAAAAAAAGAAGUUUUGGUUUCUCUCAAGUUUGUGGUGACAGACCAUUAAGAGAUUUGGAAAAGUCCUCAAU
rnacentral:rRNA from 1 species